rfam:Solibacillus silvestris StLB046 DNA, complete genome.
UUCACCUUUAAUGGCAGUCCAGAGAGGCUGAGAAGGGAUAAUGUGAAGCAACGGAAUUUUUGUGCGCAAAAAUACCCGUGUGCAGUUUUUCAACAUGACUUUUCAAACCCUCUAGAACUUUCUAGAGGGUUUUUUGUUU